UCUAGCUUAACAACUAAUUCUAUAACUAAAAACUAUAACUAAAAAGCCCGAGGGAGCCUCUUGGCGCCUAUGUGCGCACCCCCCCAGCACCUCCAGAGAGGACUAUCUAGUUUCCUGGCCAAUGCGCUGAGAAGAGUGUUGGUACUACUCAUUAGCCUGCGCAUCAUGGACGCGGCACGCUUGCGCAUGAUCGCGUAGAAAUCAUCCACGCGAGCAUCCGCAAACAUUGCCGACGCACUGCAGUGUCGAGGCUUCCUCAACACCGCUCUCAGCACAUUGUUAUAUUGAACACGCAAGGCACUGUAGGUCCGCUGCCCGUAGUCCGUCCACAGACUGCACGUGUACUACUAGUUUAUCCC